CUUUCUCCGCAUCUGCCUGACGGUUCGCGUGGGCGCGCAGUCACAUGCCUCGGCGUAGUCGAGAACGCGCGGCGGUGCUCCAGUGAGGAUAUUUUUGGCACGCUGUCUGUGUAACCAAAGUCCAACAUUAAGUCAACGUCAAAAUUGACGUCAAAUACUGAGGUCAACUCGAUUUUCAUUCUCAAACAAAAUGCAACGUCUAUCCGACGUUGGGGUCCAACGUCAACCUGAAAUUAUAUUGACGUCCGGUGCCUGCUGACAUAGUACUUUAUUUUACUACUGAAAGGCAUGUCAACAAACAUUUUCCAGCCCAGAAGAAUGUUCCUUCACCCAAAUUCCAGCCCUGUGACCAAGAUGAGACGUGCACACCAGCAUAAACCCUGUCUCAUCCUUUUCCACACAACCCAGUGGAAAAAACCUGAGAACAUUUCCCUGAAACCAGCCACAACACUUGCCUUCCUCUGUAAAAAAAAUAUCAUUAAAAGUAAACAUGACUGU